rnacentral:rRNA from 1 species
GAUGAACGCUGGCGGCGUGCCUAAUACAUGCAAGUCGAGCGAACUGAUUAGAAGCUUGCUUCUAUGACGUUAGCGGCGGACGGGUGAGUAACACGUGGGCAACCUGCCUGUAAGACUGGGAUAACUUCGGGAAACCGAAGCUAAUACCGGAUAGGAUCUUCUCCUUCAUGGGAGAUGAUUGAAAGAUGGUUUCGGCUAUCACUUACAGAUGGGCCCGCGGUGCAUUAGCUAGUUGGUGAGGUAACGGCUCACCAAGGCAACGAUGCAUAGCCGACCUGAGAGGGUGAUCGGCCACACUGGGACUGAGACACGGCCCAGACUCCUACGGGAGGCAGCAGUGGGGAAUCUUGCGCAAUGGGCGAAAGCCUGACGCAGCAACGCCGCGUGAGGGAAGAAGGCUUUCGGGUUGUAAACCUCUUUCAGGAGGGACGAAGCUUCCGAGGUGAAUAGCCUACGGGGUGACGGUACCUCCAGAAGAAGCCCCGGCUAACUACGUGCCAGCCGCCGCGGUAAAAC